rnacentral:rRNA from 1 species
UGCCUAACACAUGCAAGUCGCACGAGAAAGUCCCGCAAGGGAUGAGUAAAGUGGCGCACGGGUGAGUAACACGUAGGUAACCUGCCUCUAAGACCGGGAUAACCCGUCGAAAGAUGGGCUAAUACCGGAUAAGACCACAGAAGCUGUGGCUCCAGGGGUCAAAGGUAGCCUCUGCAUGCAAGCUAUCACUUAGAGAUGGGCCUGCGCACCAUUAGCUAGUUGGUGGGGUAACGGCCUACCAAGGCAAAGAUGGUUAGCUGGUCUGAGAGGAUGAUCAGCCACACUGGGACUGAGACACGGCCCAGACUCCUACGGGAGGCAGCAGUGGGGAAUCUUGCGCAAUGGGCGAAAGCCUGACUCAGCUCUCCGCGUGGCUGAUGAAGGCCUUCGGGUCGUAAAGCCC